CUUCUUAUUUGAUUGCAAAACCUUUGACCUAUGAGAAAACCCAGCUGGUAGUCAUCUUCACAGGGCCCAACUUCAAACAUCUCCAGCAGUUUACCUUCCAUGCUUGAGUUCCCAAACCUUGUGUGGCUCAAGUCUUUCACAAUAAAGGUAUAUCUUAUCCCUUUUUCAUGACCAGAAUACUGUUGUGCUAAAGCCCCAUUGGUUCAUUACGCUUUCCAAGGGCCCUAAACCUUGAAAAUGACUAUUGGAUUCUCUUUUUUGGGCUGCACUCAUUGGUUGGCAGGUGCUAGUUGGAUUUGAAUGAUAUCCAGUGCGUAAUCAGGUUAUUUUAUGGUUUUUGAUUGAAUGGAACUUAGAAUGAGUGAAUAAACAAAAGAGGAGACUGGCAUGGCAUGCUGUGAAUUGACAAAUGAGGUGGUGUGGGCCUUAGGGGGCUGGUUCUGCAUUCCCCAUGGAAAUUGUAAUUUGAAAAUAUCAAGUUUAUGGGCCAUUGCACCAGUUAUAAUGUACACCUAGUACAUGAAAUUAAAGGGUUCAAAAUGUAUUUCAGUCCUCUUUUGAAUUCUUUUCUCCAUCAUUUCUUGUUUGAAGGUCUCAUUAUGUGCACCGAGGUUCCUUUUCCUUGUUUGAAUGUUUUCAUGUCUUAACUCCCAUAUUCAAUAUAUCAAUCAUUUUGUUAUAC
rnacentral:lncRNA from 1 species